UAAAAUAAGUGGGACACAAGACCAAAAAACUGUUGGUGGUGAUUUGAAUCUAAACUGUAAUAUCAAUGAAAAUCACAGCUUUCUUCCUUUGUGUGCUAUGUAUUUCACAGCACUUUCAUUUAUCCGCGAGCUGUGGAUGCUCAUACUCUGGAGACAAUUGCUAUUACGGUGGAAAACAAUGCUGUAAACAAUACACAUGUUUUCUUAAAGACCCUGCCAAAUCUCAAAUGGAAGGAAUAUGCCUGAGUGGGGAACGAGAAUACAAGAAGUGGAAAGCUAAGGGGAGGUAACCGUGUAUACUUUUGAUAUCCUGGUUACUAAAAGAAAAUAUUCUUGAUGCAGCCCUGUAUUAAAUAUUCAUCAACAAUAAUAAUAAUAGUUGUCAUUUUUGUGAAUUAAUAAAUAUGAUAUUAA